rnacentral:rRNA from 1 species
UACAGGGGGGGCAAGCGUUGUUCGGAAUUACUGGGCGUAAAGGGCCAGUAGGCGGCCAACUAAGUCACACGUGAAAAUCCCCAGGCUUAACCUGGGAACUGCGUGUGAUACUGGAUGGCUUGAAUUCGGGAGAGGGAUGCAGAAUUCCAGGUGUAGCAGUGAAAUGCGUAGAUAUCUGGAGGAAUACCGGUGGCGAAGGCGGCAUCCUGGACCGACAUUGACGCUGAACGGCGAAAGCUAGGGGAGCAACGGG